AAGACUAUACUUUCAGGGAUCAUUUCUAUAGUUUUUUACUUGCGAAAUGUGUUUCUAAAAAGUUUGGUCUCGCUAACCACGAUGAUGAGUAGCGGUACAUCUUCCUGAGCGCGAAGCUGGUAGAGUAGAUUGAGUUUACUCAGUCUCUCUGCUCUUGAUGACCGUUCUUGAUUUCCAUUUGGGAAUCUGGAGGGAAGUUGUGCGAUCAGAGUGGU